AAUUAUUUAAAAUCUUAAAGCAAAAAUAAUUCAUAAUAUAAAAGACAUGCAAUAAAAAAAUUAGGAUUAAAAUUUUUAGGAUGGAUAAAUAAAAAAUAUAUGUUACUUAAGAAAAUAUAUUUUGUAAUUAAAAAAUAUAUGUGCGGGUAUCCGUGGGUACCCGUGGAUUAUCCAAAAUACCCAUUGCUUAAUGGGUACCCACUCGUUUUACCUGUAAUUUUUUAGGUUAGAAAAAUUGGUACCCAUACCCGCAAAUUUGUGGGUAACUUGCGGGUACCUGCGGGUUUGGGUCAAGAUUGCCAGGUCUAUAUGCAAUCAUGUCUACCAUGACUUAUUCCUCUAAUUAAUUCAUGCCUAAUUAUAUAUAGCCAUCAAAUUAUAACAGAUGAUGAAUCUAAUUUUACUUUGGAGAAUUAUAUAUUAUAAUCAUAAUCAAAUAAAAGAUUUAAAUUUAUCUUUAACUAUAUUUUAAUUAUGUUUGGAUUAUUAUUUUCAACAAAAACAAUUUUAUAUUUAACCAAACGUUCAAAAAUUUUCAAUCUCAUCGAUUCACUAUUAUUAUAAAAAAGAUAAUUUAUAAAAAUAUUUUCUCC
rnacentral:lncRNA from 1 species